UACGUAGGGUGCAAGCGUUGUCCGGAAUUAUUGGGCGUAAAGAGCUCGUAGGCGGCUUGUCGCGUCGACUGUGAAAUCCCGCGGCUCAACCGCGGGUCUGCAGUCGAUACGGGCAGGCUAGAGUUCGGUAGGGGAGACUGGAAUUCCUGGUGUAGCGGUGAAAUGCGCAGAUAUCAGGAGGAACACCGGUGGCGAAGGCGGGUCUCUGGGCCGAUACUGACGCUGAGGAGCGAAAGCAUGGGUAGCGAACAGG
rnacentral:rRNA from 1 species